UACGUAGGGUGCAAGCGUUAAUCGGAAUUACUGGGCGUAAAGCGCGUGUAGGCGGCUUUGCAAGUCGGAUGUGAAAGCCCACGGCUCAACCGUGGAAGUGCAUCCGAAACUGCAUGGCUUGAGUCUCGGAGAGGAAGGUGGAAUGCUUGGUGUAGAGGUGAAAUUCGUAGAUAUCAAGCAGAACACCUGCGGCGAAGGCGGCCUUCUGGACGAUGACUGACGCUGAGACGCGAAAGCGUGGGGAGCGAUCCGG
rnacentral:rRNA from 1 species